GUUCAGAUUUGUUUCAACUUUUGCAGAGUGCACAGCUUUGGAAAAAAAAACCUUUCCCUAUUGGGCUGCAAUAAAUGUUGGCAUGGGAAAGACAAUGAUGGACUUAACCAAAUAAACUUCACACCCACUCACCCCAUCCUCUUACAAGCUCUCACAAGUGGAUAAAGUGAUUUAGCAGGCAGAUCGUAACGCGUAGAGAUCAUUGAGUGAUUGAACGGAGCGAGGAAUAUAAAGUUACGGCUGCAACGAAGGUGCACAAAAAGCAAGAUCAACGUUAGAUUUGAAAUUUGAGAAGUCUAUACAAUAGCUGUUCUUGAACCUGUUGGUGUGUUUUAGCUUUUGUAUCUUCUGCCUGAUGGAAGAGGUUGAAGAGAUUAAAAGUGGGGCGGGGAGGUCUUUGAUGAUGUUGGCUGCCUUUCUGUGACAAGGAAAAAUAUAGAUGGAGUCAAUGGCUGGAAGGUCGGCUUAUGUGAUGGCCUGGUCUAAUUGGGGUAAUUGUCGCUUUGUACAAUCAUGUAAGAUGGACAAUGUCAGCUUAAGCACUUCUCCUCAUUAUUGUUUUCUGUUAACUUCAAGAGAAAUGAAAAUUGAGAGGCAUUUUAGCAUUGUAACAAUUUUAUGUCCUUUAUGCCAUCUUUUUCAACCUACAUGAAGCUUCCAGCCUCUACCUGGAAGGGCUCAAAAAGACCAACAAACUACCUCCGUUGUAUUUUUAAUGAAAUCUGAAAUCAAAACUGGGAAGUAAAUGAGUAAAAUAUGCCUUCCAUAGAUUUUUGGGAACAGACAACUGAAAUCUGAACAUAUCAAACAGACGAGUACAAAUCUUCACUACCACUGCACCACAAAAGCCCUCAAGACUUCAGUGUAAGAUGUCAAUGCUCUUGAGAUUGAAGAUUAUCAGAUCUCAUUGAAUGACAGAGCAGAAUCGAAGGGCUGAAAAGCCUUCUUCUGCUUCUGUGGCGUAUGGUCUGCAAUCAGUGAAACUGGGUAUGUUAGCCUGAGAAAGAAUACUAUUACACUGGAGGAUUUGCAGGAUCACAAGUAAUAUUUUUAAGAAACUUGAGUUGUAAGAUUUGAAGAUAUAGAUUUGGGAAUUGUCAUAGAACCUCUAACCCAUUGACUUUCAGAUGAUGAGAAUAAUCUGUGUGGAAUGAUGCCCAAUAGUUUGACAAUCAAAACGUAUUUCUUUAAUUCCAGUUGAUUGCACUUUCCAAAUAUUAAAUCACUGCCAAUGGUGUUUGUGCAAUCAGCUGUCAAAAUUCUCAGUUCUGGAAUAUCUGUCUUAAACCCCUCUGCCAUUCUAACCUACCUCCUUCCAGAUCUUGCUUAAAAUUCCCAUCUUCACUCAAGCUCUCGAUCAUCUGUCCUAAUGUUGAUUUCUGCACUUAGCGCCACCGUCUGUUUGAUUAUGCUCUUGUGAAGUGCCUUGAGAUACUGUAUUGGAUUUUAAGUACAUUAUAGAAACAAAUUACUGCGGUUGUUAUUUUUUCCCAGUGUAAUGGUAAUUAAGAACUACCCACAAGUUUACGA